AUCCUUCAGAUGAUCUCAGAUGACCCACAUCAUUUCUUAUGCAUCCUACUGAGAUAAUCACCAGAGUGGAUUUUGGCUGAUAGACACUGGUGCCCGGAAGACCAAUCCAAAUGAAGAGCCAGAGUCAAGAUCCUGAUUCCUUGCCUGCCAUCACUCCCAAAGUAGCCUUUCUCAUGCAUCCAGUCUAGCUUGUUGCAUAGAAGAGAAAAAACAAGAGCUCACCAGCCUUCCGAGAACUGUAUGUAACUCAGGUUUUUAAAUCAUCACAGAUACCAAAUGGAGAUAUUCCUGUAACACCUUCCUCAUAUAAGCUGAGAAUUCAGAAUUACAGGACA